rnacentral:rRNA from 1 species
UACGUAGGGUGCAAGCGUUGUCCGGAAUUAUUGGGCGUAAAGGGCGCGUAGGCGGUUUGACAAGUCUGAUGUGAAAUCUAUGGGCUCAACCCAUAGCCUGCAUUAGAAACUGUCGGGCUUGAGUAUGGGAGAGGUGAGUGGAAUUUCCGGUGUAGCGGUGAAAUGCGUAGAUAUCGGAAGGAACACCUGUGGCGAAAGCGGCUCACUGGACCAUAACUGACGCUGAGGCGCGAAAGCUAGGGGAGCAAACAGG